rfam:Myotis davidii contig187103, whole genome shotgun sequence.
AGGCCCAAAGAGAGAGGCAGGGUCUGAUCUGCAGCCUUCUUGGCAGCUGUUGAUCAGCCAUUGCUUCUCUCUUUCUCUCUG